rnacentral:rRNA from 1 species
AAGACCUUGCACUUUUGGAGCGGCCGAUGUCUGAUUAGCUAGUUGGUGGGGUAAUGGCCUACCAAAGCUUCGAUCAGUAGCUGGCCCGAGAGGACGGCCAGCCACACUGGGACUGAGACACGGCCCAGACUCCUACGGGAGGCAGCAGUGGGGAAUUUUGGACAAUGGGCGCAAGCCUGAUCCAGCCAUGCCGCGUGAGUGAAGAAGGCCUUCGGGUUGUAAAGCUCUUUCAGCCGGGAAGAAAAGGUUGCGACUAAUAAUCGCAAUCCAUGACGGUACCGAAAGAAGAAGCACUGGCUAACUACGUGCCAGCAGCCGCGGUAAUACGUAGGGUGCGAGCGUUAAUCGGAAUUACUGGGCGUAAAGGGUGCGCAGGCGGUUUUGUAAGUCAGAUGUGAAAUCCCCGGGCUUAACCUGGGAACU